rnacentral:rRNA from 1 species
AUCGCUUGACGGUAUCUUACCAGAAAGCGACGUCUAACUACGUGCCAGCAGCCGCGGUAAUACGUAGGUGGCAAGCGUUGUCCGGUUUUAUUGGGCGUAAAGCGAGCGCAGGCGGUUUCUUAAGUCUGAUGUGAAAGCCCCCGGCUCAACCGGGGAGGGUCUUUGGAAACUGGGAGACUUGAGUGCAGAAGAGGAGAGUGGAUUUCCAUGUGUAGCGGUGAAAUGCGUAGAUAUAUGG